rnacentral:rRNA from 1 species
GUGGGGAAUAUUGGACAAUGGGCGAAAGCCUGAUCCAGCCAUGCCGCGUGUGUGAAGAAGGUCUUCGGAUUGUAAAGCACUUUAAGUUGGGAGGAAGGGCAGUAAGUUAAUACCUUGCUGUUUUGACGUUACCGACAGAAUAAGCACCGGCUAACUUCGUGCCAGCAGCCGCGGUAAUACGAAGGGUGCAAGCGUUAAUCGGAAUUACUGGGCGUAAAGCGCGCGUAGGUGGUUCAGUAAGUUGGAAGUGAAAUCCCCGGGCUCAACCUGGGAACUGCGUUCAAAACUGCUGAGCUAGAGUACGGUAGAGGGUGGUGGAAUUUCCGGUGUAGCGGUGAAAUGCGUAGAUAUAGGAAGGAACACCAGUGGCGAAGGCGACCACCUGGACUGAUACUGACACUGAGGUGCGAAAGCGUGGGGAGCAAACAGGAUUAGAAACCCUAGUAGUCC